rnacentral:rRNA from 1 species
GAUGAACGCUGGCGGCGUGCCUAAUACAUGCAAGUCGAGCGAACAGACGAGGAGCUUGCUCCUCUGACGUUAGCGGCGGACGGGUGAGUAACACGUGGAUAACCUACCUAUAAGACUGGGAUAACUUCGUGAAACCGGUGCUAAUACCGGAUAAUAUAUUGAACCGCAUGGUUCAAUAGUGUAAGACGGUUUUGCUGUCACUUAUAGAUGGAUCCGCGCCGCAUUGGCUGGGUGGUAAGGUAACGGCUUACCAAGGCAACGAUGCGUAGCCGACCUGAGAGCGUGAAGGGCCACACUGGAACUGAGACACGGUCCAGACUCCUACGGGAGGCAGCAGUAGGGAAUCUUCCGCAAAGGGCGAAAGCCUGAAGGAGCAACGCCGCGUGAGUGAAGAAGGUCUUCGGAUCGUAAAACUCUGUUAUUAGGGAAGAACAAAUGUGUAAGUAACUAUGCACGUCUUGACGGUACCUAAUCAGAAAGCCACGGCUAACUACGUG